UACGAAGGGGGCUAGCGUUGUUCGGAAUUACUGGGCGUAAAGCGUGCGCAGGCGGCUUCUCAAGUCAGGGGUGAAAGCCCAGAGCUCAACUCUGGAAUUGCCUUUGAGACUGAGUGGCUUGAGUACGAGAGAGGUGAGUGGAAUUCCCAGUGUAGAGGUGAAAUUCGUAGAUAUUGGGAAGGAACACCGGUGGCGAAGGCGGCUCACUGGCUCGUAACUGACGCUCAUGCACGACAGCCGUGGGGAUCAAACAGG
rnacentral:rRNA from 1 species